rnacentral:lncRNA from 1 species
CCAUGGUACAGUCCGUCCUAGAGGGCCGAGGAUCUAAUUUGGGAGAGAGAAGGGCCAAAAGACCAAUGCUGGAGAGACCAGAGAUUCCUGACGGUGUGGAGAAUGUUGACAUGAGUCUGGAGGACUUACAGCUGCUUCUGAGGAGUCACCAGCAGAGCAUGGAAACCAGUGCUGCAGCAAUGGAUCCCUUCACAUUUAGUCUGUCUUUGAACGAGUGGAACUUUACAGAAAUGGACCCAAACCUGAAAUCAGAGCUGGCUAAUGCCCUCAUCCCUGCUGCUGUGUCCCAGUACAUGUUUCAGGGCCAGGAGGGGGAGACGUACCCCACCGCUGGCUAUGAGGAGCAGUGAAGCCCUGAUAUGACAGCCAGCACAGAUCCCUCCUGAGAGUGAGCAGGUACUG